UACGUAGGGUGCGAGCGUUAAUCGGAAUUACUGGGCGUAAAGCGUGCGCAGGCGGUGAUGUAAGACAGGUGUGAAAUCCCCGGGCUUAACCUGGGAACUGCAUUUGUGACUGCAUCGCUGGAGUGCGGCAGAGGGGAUGGAAUUCCGCGUGUAGCAGUGAAAUGCGUAGAUAUGCGGAGGAACACCGAUGGCGAAGGCAAUCCCCUGGGCCUGCACUGACGCUCAUGCACGAAAGCGUGGGGAGCAAACACGG
rnacentral:rRNA from 1 species